AGUAGCGGUGAAAUGCGUAGAUAUCUGGAGGAAUACCAAAGGCGAAGGCAGUCCCCUGGUCCGAUACUGACACUGAGGUACGAAAGCGUGGGGAGCAAACAGGGUUAGAUACCCUGGUAGUCCACGCCCUAAACGAUGUCGAUUAGCCAUUGGAAGGACCCCUUUUCCUUUCAGUGACGUAGCUAACGCGUUAAAUCGACCGCCUGGGAAGUACGACCGCAAGGUUAAAACUCAAAGGAAUUGACGGGGACCUGAACAAGCGGUGAAUGAUGUGGAUUAAUUUCGAUGCUACGCGAAGAACCUUACCUACCUUUGACAUGGCCAAAGUUCUACCGAGAGGCGGAAGUACUCGUAAGAGGAUUGGCGCACAGGUGCUGCAUGGUUGUCGUCAGUUCGUGUCGUGAGAUGUUGGGUUCAGUCCCGCAACGAACGCAACCCUUAUCUUUAAUUGCUCCUAUUUUAACAGGCACUUUAAAGAAACUGCCAAUGAUAAGUUGGAGGAAGGUGGGGAUCACGUCAAGUCCGCAUGGCCUUUAUAGGUAGGGCUUCACACGUCAUACAAUGGUUAGAACAAAGAGCUGCAAAUUCGUAAGAAGGAGCCAAUCUCACAAACCUAACCUCAGUUCGAAUUGCGGUCUGCAACUCGAGCGCAUGAAGCCGGAAUCGCUAGUAAUCGUGGAUCAGAAUGCCA
rnacentral:rRNA from 1 species